rnacentral:misc_RNA from 1 species
GAAAUGCGAUAAGUAAUGUGAAUUGCAGAAUUCAGUGAAUCAUCGAAUCUUUGAACGCACAUUGCGCCCUCUGGUAUUCCGGGGGGCAUGCCUGUCCGAGCGUCAUUGCGAACCCCUCAAGCACGGCUUGUGUGAUGGGCCCUCCCGCGUCUUGGUCGUCAAGACGGGCCCGAAAUGCAGUGGCGGCUUCGCGGUUAUCCGAUCAGCCAGAGCGUAUGGGGACUUUCUCUCUGUCACACGCCCGCGGCGCGGACCGACGCCUGUCGACCUUUAUUCAUCUUUUUCUCGGUUGACCUCGGAUCAGGUAGGGAUACCCGCUGAACUUAAGC